UACGUAGGGGGCGAGCGUUGUCCGGAUUUAUUGGGCGUAAAGAGCUCGUAGGCGGUUUGGCAAGUCGGGUGUGAAAACUCCGGCUCAACUCGGAGACGCCACUCGAUACUGCUAUGACUCGAGUCCGGUAGGGGAGUGCGGAAUUCCUGGUGUAGCGGUGAAAUGCGCAGAUAUCAGGAGGAACACCGGUGCGAAGGCGGCACUCGUGGGCCGGUACUGACGCUGAGGAGCGAAAGCGUGGGAGCGAACAGG
rnacentral:rRNA from 1 species